GACGAACGCUGGCGGCGUGCUUAACACAUGCAAGUCGAACGGAAGGGCCCUGCUUUUGUGGGGUGCUCGAGUGGCGAACGGGUGAGUAACACGUGAGUAACCUGCCCUUGACUUUGGGAUAACUUCAGGAAACUGGGGCUAAUACCGGAUAGGAGCUCCUGCUGCAUGGUGGGGGUUGGAAAGUUUCGGCGGUUGGGGAUGGACUCGCGGCUUAUCAGCUUGUUGGUGGGGUAGUGGCUUACCAAGGCUUUGACGGGUAGCCGGCCUGAGAGGGUGACCGGCCACAUUGGGACUGAGAUACGGCCCAGACUCCUACGGGAGGCAGCAGUGGGGAAUAUUGCACAAUGGGCGGAAGCCUGAUGCAGCAACGCCGCGUGCGGGAUGACGGCCUUCGAGUUGUAAACCGCUUUCGCCUGUGACGAAGCGUGAGUGACGGUAAUGGGUAAAGAAGCACCGGCUAACUACGUG
rnacentral:rRNA from 1 species